CGCAAUCAGAAUUGAAUUUGGAAUUAGGGUAGAGAUUUUAUGGACUUAUGAACAUGAAUGGCGAUUUGGUAAAUUCGUGUGAGAUAUUUUUGUGGCUUGUUUUGUGGGCUACGUAGGGCCCACACUCCUUACUUCUCCCCUCACUCCCGUGUCUCCCUAUUUUCUGGACCAUACUGUCUCCCUCAUUUGAAACUCUCUCUAUCAUUCUCACUUUCUCUCUCUCUCUCACAUCUCUCUUCUUCUCCCUCAACCCGUACCAUUCCCUUCUCUCUACAAACCCAAACAAAAUCAUCAAACACAAAAGAAUGAGCUUCAAAACGUCACCAUCGUAAUCCUCUCAUCCUCACAAGUCCAUCCACAUAAACAGAAUCGAAAACAACUGAGUUUCGAAACGUUAAAAAAAGGGUCCGAGAGCUUUCAAGCCAUUUUCAGUCCAAUUCCGUCCAAUUUUUAGAUUUUCAAAAGUUUCCGGCGACCUCCGAGAUUUCUGAGCCAUUUUCCGACCAAAUCAUGGCGAGUUAGCAGUCAAGUAGGCCACCAAUCUCUUUUUUUGAUCCCGAAUUUUCCGGCCAAUUUCCCCAGUUUCCAAUGGACCAGUCGUUUUUCAUGCCAUUUUCCGGCCAUCUCCAGCACCAUUGGGCUUCUAAAUAGGUAUAAUCUUGUUGUACACUUUCCUAGCUUCGUUUUGAUAUAUUAUGGGCAAAUUUUGGUUGUGAAAUACGCCUGAAUGGAGCAUUUGAAUUCACCCUAAAAUCUGCAGAAGAAGAAAGGGCCUAAGCCCAAAUCCGGCCCAAACCUUUGGGUCUUUGUUCAAGUCUAAGUCCAAGUCCAUUUCUGAAAUUAGAGGGAAUGAAUAUUCAGUUAACUUUAACAGAAUAUUCAUUAUGAGAAGGGAAUAUUCCAUUAAAGUUAACCGUUAACUGUUAGUCGACUUUUGUUGAUUUUUUUUCAAAUUUUUUCGGAAACCCUCCUAGACUAAUUUAGAUGCUCCGAGUCUAUUUUUGACAUCCAUUUAGUGAAAUUCUAAGGUUUUGGUAUAGUUGACCAUUAAGGCGUUUCGAUUUACUUUUAGGGUUGACUGUUGACUUUUUGUAAAAUUUGCCGAUGACCAUCUUUAGCAUAUUUCGACGCCCUGAUUCCAAAUCCGCACUCCAUUUUCUCAAAUUUGAUCGUUUAGGUGCGAUUAUUAUUGGUGACUCUAGUUUUCCU